AUAUGAGUAAAAAUAGACACUUCUAUUAUGAACAACUUAUAAAUGGUUUAUAAAUUUUACUCAAUGUUUAGAAAAGAUUAUAAUUCCUCCAAAGAUGUUACUUAAAGAGAGAUAAAUGUUGCCUCUUUAUUUUUAUUUUUUGCUUAAUUAACUUUAUUUUAGUAUUAUUAAUAUUAUCUCUGAACAAUAUUCCAUUAGAAAUGGAACACAAAAAGAUA
rnacentral:lncRNA from 1 species